UACGAAGGGGGCUAGCGUUGUUCGGAAUUACUGGGCGUAAAGCGAACGUAGGCGGUGUUCCAUGUCAGAGGUGAAAGCCUGGGGCUCAACUCCAGAAUUGCCUUUGAAACGGGAACGCUUGAGUCCGAGAGAGGAUGGCGGAAUUCCUAGUGUAGAGGUGAAGUUCGUAGAUAUUAGGAAGAACACCAGUGGCGAAGGCGGCCAUCUGGCUCGGUACUGACGCUCAGGUUCGAAAGCGUGGGGAGCAAACAGG
rnacentral:rRNA from 1 species